CGUGGGUAACCCACCCUCGAGACCGGGAUACCCUCUCGAAAGGGAGGCUAAUACUGGAUACGUUCCCUGGGACGCAAGAUCUAGGGAGGAAAGGUGGCGAAAGCUGCCGCUCUUGGAGGGGCUCGCGGCCUAUCAGCUAGUUGGUGAGGUAACGGCUCACCAAGGCUAUGACGGGUAGCUGGUCUGAGAGGACGACCAGCCACACGGGAACUGAGACACGGUCCCGACUCCUACGGGAGGCAGCAGUGGGGAAUUUUCCGCAAUGGGCGAAAGCCUGACGGAGUGACGCCGCGUGGGGGACGAAGGCCUUCGGGUCGUAAACCCCUGUCAGAGGGAAAGAAGGGUGUCGGCGUGAAUAGCGCUGGCAUCUGACGGUACCUUCAGAGGAAGCCCCGGCCAACUCUGUGCCAGCAGCCGCGGUAAGACAGAGGGGGCAAGCGUUGCUCGGAAUCACUGGGCGUAAAGGGCGCGUAGGCGGGAUGGCAAGUCGGUCGUGAAAUCCUUCGGCUCAACCGAAGAACGUCGGCCGAUACUGCCGUUCUUGAGGGAUGCAGAGGAGAUUGGAAUUCCCGGUGUAGCGGUGAAAUGUGUAGAGAUCGGGAGGAACACCGGUGGC
rnacentral:rRNA from 1 species